CAGAGUUGUAACAUCAGGAGCGUUGAAGACGUGGCUUUGGAUCAACAGUCAGUUGAAAGCAAAGGCUAUUGUUUGCUAGCUAUGAAGAUCUUUAUUAGACGAACACCGCGUGUGCUGUCGGUUCCACAGUUCCAGGAGGAAUGCCUUGCCCAGAGCCAUAGAGAGAGAGAGUUGCGACAACUCCGUUGACUCCAAUGGACCGUUUUUUUACAGCAAUGGCGGAUCAUGGAGCCGCUCAAUAGUUCCCGGAAGUUAGUGCUCAUACUAUCAGCGCCAUAGAGAUACAGCAGAAGAGACCGCUGUGAUGAACUUUUAAAAGAACAAGAACCACCUGAAGACUCCCUGUAAUGAGAAAUCACCCUCACAAUGAGUCUUCACUGGGUUUGGCAAGUCUUUCCCUGUUCUUUGUGAAAAAGUGUCAGUUCCCAUAUGAUUACAUCACAUUUUGUUGGUGUA